AAGCUGUGGAGAAGCUGGAACCCUCAUACACAGCUGGGGGAAAAGUAAAAUGGUGCUGCUGCUUUGGAAAACAUUCUGGUAGUUCCUCAAAUGGUUAAACACAGAGCUCCAUUCCACUUCCAGCUAUGUGAUUCCUCUUUGAGGAUGCCGUCAGAAACUGCUGAGUCUUCUGUGAUCUUCAGUGAUGGUAAAUCUUCAAUGUGAGCAGUAAAUGUGAACUUAGGUAUUAUUAUUAAGAGAGAGACAGAGCAUGAACGGGGGAGGGGCAGAGAGAGG